UACAGAGGAUGCAAGCGUUAUCCGGAAUGAUUGGGCGUAAAGCGUCUGUAGGUGGCUUUUUAAGUCCGCCGUCAAAUCCCCAGGCUUUACCUGGGAACUGCGUCGGAUACUGGAUGGCUUGAAUCCGGGAGAGGGAUGCGGAAUUCCAGGUGUAGCGGUGAAAUGCGUAGAUAUCUGGAGGAACACCGGUGGCGAAGGCGGCAUCCUGGACCGGCAUUGACGCUGAGGAGCGAAAGCCAGGGGAGCAAACGGG
rnacentral:rRNA from 1 species